CCAAUAUGGACACCCCAGGAGCUCACUCUCCACAGGCUCUGUCCUCACAGCACAGGGGAGCAUAGGGCUCUGCCCCAUGGCGUACAGUCCCUUCCCACAGUGUCAGAUGUGAAGCCGGGCUUUGUGUCUGCGCCUGCAUUUUUCUAUGACUUCCCAGAGUCCUGUGGGUAAUGACUGAGGAGAUAAGCCAUACAGAAAUCAGGC